rnacentral:tRNA from 1 species
GAGGUUGUGGCUCAGUGGUAGAGUGCUUGCCUAGCAUGUGUGAGGCCCUGGGUUCGAUCCUCAGCACCACA